rnacentral:rRNA from 1 species
GACGAAGGUGGCAAGCGUUGUUCGGAAUCACUGGGCAUAAAGCGCACGUAGGCGGUGGCGUAAGUCGGGUGUGAAAUCCCUCGGCCCAACCGAGGAACUGCGCCCGAUACUGCGUUGCUUGAGGAUCAGAGGGGUGCAUGGAAUUUCCGGUGGAGCGGUGAAAUGCGUUGAUAUCAGGAGGAACACCGGUGGCGAAGGCGGCUACCUAGACAGAAACUGACGCUGAGGCGCGAAAGCUAGGGGAGCAAACGGG